AUAACUCUGAGCUGGUGCUGUCAGCAUCAAAGUAACAUGCUGCUUUGCAGUUAGCUUUUUGCUUAGUUUCUAGUAUCAGUUUUCAUGGAAUUUUUUCAUUGUCUUUACCCACUGAUACAUCAGUGUACUCUUCUGCUUGGUACCAAAAACGGGGAUACAAAACGUGGAGAAACCCUGAGACUGAGCCUUGGGUUUCUGCCCUCUGUGCCACUAACUCCCCGUGUAUCCCCUCCUCCUCUGCACCUCCAGCUCUUCCUCUGUAAACGACAACCUGGCAGCUUUUGGCAAGGAGUCUGAAGUUCUUAUUGGGAACCUGGGUGAUAAAUUAAUCCCUCCACAAGACAUCCUUCGUGACGUCAGUGACCUCAAAGCCUUGGCCAACAUGCAUGAAAGCCUGGAAUGGUUGGCAAGUCGAACAAAGUCAGCUUUCUCCAAUCUUUCUACAUCCCAGAUGCUUUCUCCUGCUCAAGACAGCCACACGAACACGGAUCUCCCCCCAGUGUCAGAGCAGAUCAUGCAGACUCUCAGUGAACUUGCCAAAUCGUUCCAGGAUAUGGCUGACCGCUGCUUGCUUGUCUUACAUCUGGAAGUGAGG
rnacentral:sRNA from 1 species